GCUGAAUACAACAGGUGUAGUAGACCUACAGUGAAAUGCUGAAUACAACAGGUGUAGUAGACCACAGUGAAAUGCUGAAUACAACAGGUGUAGUAGACCUCACAGUGAAAUGCUGAAUACAACAGGUGUAGUAGACCUCACAGUGAAAUGCUGAAUACAACAGGUGUAGUAGACCUUACAGUGAAAUGCUGAAUUACAACAGGUGUAGUAGACCUUACAGUGAAAUGCUGAAUACAACAGGUGUAGUAGACCUCACAGUGAAAUGCUGAAUACAACAGGUGUAGUAGACCUUACAGUGAAAUGCUGAAUACAACAGGUGUAGUAGACCUUACAGUGAAAUGCUGAAUACAACAGGUGUAGUAGACCUUACAGUGAAAUGCUGAAUACAACAGGUGUAGUAGACCUUACAGUGAAAUGCUGAAUACAACAGGUGUAGCAGACCUCACAGUGAAAUGCUGAAUACAACAGG